GAUGAACGCUGGCGGCGUGCUUAACACAUGCAAGUCGAACGGAAAGGCUCCUGCUUGCAGGGGUACUCUAGUGGCGAACGGGUGAGUAACACGUGGGUGAUCUGCCCUGCACUUCGUUAUAUGCCUGGGUAACUUGGUCUAAUACCGGAUAGGACCACAUUUUGUAUGGUGUUGUGUAAAGUUUUUCGGUGUGGGAUGAGCUCGCGGCCUAUCAGCUUGUUGGUGGGGUAAUGGCCUACGAAGGCGUCGACGGGUAGCCGGCCUGAGAGGGUGUACGGCCAAAUUGGGACGGAGAGACGGCACAGAAUCCUACGGGAGGCAGCAGUGGGGAAUAUUGCACAAUGGGAGGAAGCCUGAUGAAGAGACGCGGCGUGGGGGAUGAAGGCCUUCGGGUUGUAAACAAAUUGCGAUAGGGACGAAGCGAAAGUGACGGUAACUGGAGAAGAAGCACCGGCUAACUACGUG
rnacentral:rRNA from 1 species